CACGGGGUAGUUUAAUAUAAAACAAAGAAUUGCAAAUUCUUAAAUGCCAACAGCUCUCGUGU
rnacentral:tRNA from 1 species